AUUCAAAAUGUUUUGUCUGUAGCUAAAUAGUUUGAUGACGUGCCUCUAAUUAUGGGUUAUCAAAUUUAGUCUACCCAUAUGCAUAACACGUAAGAGAAGGGGUUAAUUUUUUUUUCUUUUACAGCAAGUGGUGGAGUAAUUUGUUGGUCAAUAAUUUUGUCUAUAGCUAAAUGCAUAUACAGGAUCAUACUAGUUCUUUUAAUAUAUUUUCCAACUAAAUUAUUAUGCUGCUAUAUAUUUGUUCCCUGGCGUCAAUAAUGUUCUCAUUAAGGAAAACAGGAGGGGGUGACUGCAGUAUUUUGUUUUUUAGAGUAUCACCUGAUUUCGCCUCCGCGAGGAUUCGAGUCUAGAGACCGGGGGCAUACAUUUACUUGCUCAACUAAAUGAGUUAGUGGCGCUUCACAUAUUGUUGUAUUGCCGUGCAAAAGAGCAAUAUAACUGUAUUUCUUGAUUCAUUUCACCCUGUUUCACUAUGCACUAGGGAUUUAGGUAAUAUUGGAACUUAUUUUUUUUUCAAUAUAAAACUUCAUCUUCAGCAUAUUUGCAAGGUCACGAUCUAGAAGAAAACUGAAAUAUAACAAAAUCACGUACAUACUACUUUGUGCUAUUUUUCGUUAUUUUUUUUUGGCAAGAUCAAGUCAUCUUAACAUCCACAGAAGAACGAACACAUACGUAUGCUUCGGUGCACUAGACAAGAAGUGACCACAUACAUCAUGCAUGCAAUGGAAAUUUGCCGAGAUAUAUAGAGGAAAAAUAAUGAGUCAUGUACACGAGUAAUGUACAUAGAGAUACAUAUAGGAAAAAUAAUGAGUCACGGCACACGAGUAAUGUACAAUAAUCACAAAAGUAGAAAUACUCAUCAUGCGUGCAUGAAACAACAUGAAUUAAGAACAUAAUACAAGAAAUACAAAAAGGAUGCAUCAUCUCUAUCUAGACAUAGCCUGAUGCGAUGUCAAGCCACUUAUUCAAGAGAUAGCACGCUGUGGCGAUACAUAGCUAGCUCCAUCCAGGUGUCUCCUCAUUCAAUUGUCAUAUAUGUAUAGAGAGAGAGGAAGAGAUCAACUGUCGGUUGUCGGCGGUUUGCGCUUCGGUGGCGGCUCAGGCUUUGGUUCGGGUUUGGGUUCUGGUUUAGGCAUCGGUUCAGGCUUGGGCUCGGGUUUUGGUUCAGGUUUAGGCAUGGGCUUAGGCAUGGGCUCAGGCUUUGGUUCUGGUUUAGGCAUUGGCUUAGGCUUGGGUUCGGGUUUUGGCUCUGGUUUGGGCAUUGGCUCAGGCUUGGGUUCUGGUUUAGGCAUGGGCUCAGGCUUUGGUUCCGGUUUAAUUGGCUCAGGCUUCGGUUCCGGCUUAGGCAUUGGCUCGGGCUUGGGCUCAGGUUUUGGCUCAGGUUUAGGCAUUGGCUCGGGUUUGGGCUCAGGUUUAGGCUCAGGUUUAGGCACUGGCUCAGGCUUAGGCUCGGGUUUAGGCUCAGGUUUAGGCACUGGCUUAGGCAUGGGCUCGGGUUUUGGUUCCGGUUUAGGCAUUGGCUCAGGUUUGGGCUCGGGUUUAGGCUCGGGUUUAGGCAUUGGCUUAGGCAUGGGCUCGGGUUUUGGUUCCGGUUUGGGCAUGGGCUCUGGUUUUGGCUCGGGUUUUGGCAUUGGCUUAGGCAUGGGCUCUGGUUUUGGUUCCGGUUUAGGCAUCGGCUCAGGUUUCGGCUCUGGUUUAGGCAUUGGUUUGGGCAUUGGUUCCGGCUUGGGCUCUGGCUUCGGCUCGGGCUUGGGCAUGGGUUCAGGUUUGGGCUCAGGUUUCGGUCCCGGUUUGGGCAUUGGUUCUGGCUUCGGCUCAGGUUUCGGUUCAGGUUUAGGCAUGGGUUCAGGUUUCGGUUCAGGUUUUGGCUCUGGUUUUGGCAUGGGCUUGGGCUCCGGUUUUGGCAUGGGUUUUGGUUCCGGCUUUGGCUCUGGCU
rnacentral:lncRNA from 1 species